AGCGCUGCUGGCCACGGCGAUGGGCGACCAGGCGGACCGCGCGGGGCGCAGGGCACGUCCGGUUGGCCAACGCGUCAUAAAUGGCUGUGGCCAUUUCAGCGGCUGCGCUGCAGGGAUGAUGGCGGGCGGCACUGUCGCUAGAAUGGAAAAUAGGAAAUAAAAUGGUACUGCUACUUCCCUGGAGCAGUCGAUGCAUCCAUGCUGAUGCUGCUUGCGCUGCAAUGGCGAAGACAAAAGAGGACGACUCCAACAUCAUACCCAGCCAUCGAUGCAGAACUGCGCUUGCUCGCGGGCGGCGGUGUCUAUGGCCGUUGUUGGGUACCACAGACGCGAGACCCGCUCGUAGGAGAGGCCUUACCGUGGCUAGCGAUGGGUCCGACAACAUCGCUGUGGAGGGCUGGCCAAGGGUGUGGCCUCGACCGCCGCCGAUCUAUGCCCAUGCGAGACAAGGGCAAUGAUUGCUCUUCGGGACGUCGCCGCCGCGUCGCUUUGUGAGGCCGAUGGAAUCGCUCAUCCGAGAGCGUGCUGAUAACGUGUUAAAAGUACAAGAAGAGAGGAAGAGCAAAUGAUCAAAAUCGUUGUCUCAUUGAUUGAAGAUGUGGGUAUAUAUACCCCAGUACAAAGACGGUUACAAGGAGCAGCUGUUAAAUUAAAGUAACCGACAUAGCAGGGAUUAUCCCUUAAUUAAAUAUAUUUAUUUAAUUUCUAA